rnacentral:rRNA from 1 species
AACGCGACCCCAGGUCAGGCGGGGAUACCGCUGAGUUA